AACUUACUCCCUCCGUCCGGAAUUACUUGUCAUCAAAAUGGAAAGAAAUGAAUAUAUCUAGAACUAAAAUAUAUCUAGAUACAUCCAUUCCUAUGACAAGUAAUUCCGGAUGAAGGGAGUAUUCU
rnacentral:pre_miRNA from 1 species